rnacentral:tRNA from 1 species
UCGUCUAGAGGCCUAGGACACCGCCCUUUCACGGCGGUAACAGGGGUUCGAGUCCCCUAGGGGACGCCA